UUUGAUGGCUCUAGGUCAAGCCUGAACUCCAAAAUAUAAAAUAGAGCCUGUUCUAGGUUGAACCGGACCAAGCCUGGCUCUAUUAGAGCUGGUUCUAACUGGCUUGGGAGGCUCGAGCCUCCAUUUUGAGUAUAAGAAAGAUCUUCAUCCAUUUUGUGAGUCUGGUGUCACUUUGUACGAUUGGCUGUGCUGAUCCCCUGAUUGGCCAGAUGUGUCUGGCUGUUUGAGUGGCUUUGGCAGUGUGUCACUCAGGGACAUCUGCCACCCUAUUGGCCGGGGGAAGGAACAGGGUAUAUGUGUGCCCCAGGAGGGUUAUUCAAAGACCUCAUGGCUUGGAAUCUCUUUUUUUCCUGCUGCUUGUUUUUCUGCUGACUGAGGAGCCAAUACUACUGCUGCUUCUUUGGAAAUUGCUGCUGCAUCUUUGGAAAUUGACAGGCAAUGAAAUCACUUUUUCUGGGUUUCCCACCUACACCUUUGCUCGAUGAAGGAGGUGAUGGUUCAGACAACAUUUCAGAAAAGCGCCAAUUGCAGCAAGAAGAAAUAUCUGAUGCAAGUAACAUCAUUCAGCGAUGAAUCAGUGAUGAACAAUUCCUAACAAGCAAACACACUUGUAUUUCUAAAGUUAUACAUUCAGAAGCAGAUAUAUGCUGACAAAGAGUGCCAAAGAACAAAGGUGCAGCCAGAUGCAGCAUCCAGAGUGGCGGGAGUGGACCAAGUCUGUUCUACAAUGCUGAGCAUCUGGUGCAAUUCUCCUGAAUAUCAUAGAAUAGUUGACUGUCAUGCAAGAAAGAUGUUUCACACACAGUACUUCUUGUAAACAUAGUUCACAAAGUGGGACUUCCCUUUAAAACCUUGCAUUAUGUAGGACCUAAAGAUUGGAAGGAUUGUCUGCUCUUGUAUGAAUGUGCCCACAGGUUAAAAUUAAAAUCUUCCCUAGACCUUUCUCUGGGAGGUGCCCCAUAAUUUGUUCUCAUUCCUCCCCAGUCAACACUCAAUGAAUCAGAACAGAAAUAAAUCCAGAGGCAAUUUAAUCUUGUGUCCAUGAAUUGAUAAUCGUUAGCAUCAUCAUAGGAUAACUCUUUAUCCCAUAACACCACAAUGUUGCUGUAAUAGGAUAACUAUCUCCCACUCACAUGCCUUAUCAGAAAAUAGUGACAGUUGUUCUUAACUGGGGGAAAACUCCACUAUUUAUUAAACAUUGUUGUUGUUAUUGUUACCACCUGAUUCCAGAGGCUCUAGGUGGUUCACACAAAUAAAUACAACAUUAACAUUACAGAUUGAAAGUAUUUAUCAUGCAAAUUUGUUAUGAGUGUUCUUGAAAUAGAAAGGUCAUCAGAAGGCUAUUGUAAGAUAAAUUGCUAAUCCAGGUUCCAUUCUUUACGAAGAACACCAGAAAAGGUGUGAAUGGACUUUUCCUGAGGGCAAGCGUGAGGCGGGUUGCAGGCUUCACAUCCUGCAACCAGAGUUUUUAACAGAAAUUUUGCAAAAGUUGGAUAUCGAUGGCCAAUUUGUUUCCAAGCACACCAGAACUGGUGUGAACAAACUUUGAAU